rnacentral:rRNA from 1 species
GACGAACGCUGGCGGCGUGCUUAACACAUGCAAGUCGAACGGAAAGGCCCUGCUUUUGUGGGGUGCUCGAGUGGCGAACGGGUGAGUAACACGUGAGUAACCUGCCCUUGACUUUGGGAUAACUUCAGGAAACUGGGGCUAAUACCGGAUAGGAGCUCCUGCUGCAUGGUGGGGGUUGGAACGUUUCGGCGGUUGGGGAUGGACUCGCGGCUUAUCAGCUUGUUGGUGGGGUAGUGGCUUACCAAGGCUUUGACGGGUAGCCGGCCUGAGAGGGUGACCGGCAACAUUGGGACUGAGAUACGGCCCAGACUCCUACGGGAGGCAGCAGUGGGGAAUAUUGCACAAUGGGCGGAAGCCUGAUGCAGCAACGCCGCGUGCGGGAUGACGGCCUGCGGGUUGUAAACCGAUUUCGCCUGUGACGAAGCGUGAGUGACGGUAAUGGGUAAAGAAGCACCGGCUAACUACGUG